rnacentral:rRNA from 1 species
CCUACGGGAGGCAGCAGUGGGGAAUAUUGGACAAUGGGCGAAAGCCUGAUCCAGCCAUGCCGCGUGUGUGAAGAAGGUCUUCGGAUUGUAAAGCACUUUAAGUUGGGAGGAAGGGUCGUAACCUAAUACGUUGCGAUUUUGACGUUACCAACAGAAUAAGCACCGGCUAACUUCGUGCCAGCAGCCGCGGUAAU